rnacentral:rRNA from 1 species
UUUGACUGGCUCAGGAUUAACGCUGGCGGUAUGCUUAACACAUGCAAGUCGAACGGGACUUUUCGGAGAAUCUGGCUUCAGGUUCGGGACAACCAUUGGAAACGAUGGCUAAUACCGAAUGUGCCGCAGGGUGAAAGAUUAAUUGCCUGAAGAUGAGCUCGCGUCUGAUUAGCUAGUUGGUGGGGUAAGAGCCUACCAAGGCGACGAUCAGUAACUGGUCUGAGAGGAUGACCAGUCACACUGGGACUGAGACACGGCCCAGACUCCUACGGGAGGCAGCAGUGGGGAAUUUUCCGCAAUGGGCGAAAGCCUGACGGAGCAAUACCGCGUGAGGGAGGAAGGCUCUAGGGUUGUAAACCUCUUUUCUCAGGGAAGAACAAAAUGACGGUACCUGAGGAAUAAGCAUCGGCUAACUCCGUGCCAGCAGCCGCGGUAAUACGGAGGAUGCAAGCGUUAUCCGGAUUUAUUGGGCGUAAAGCGUCCGCAGGUGGCAGUUCAAGUCUGCUGUCAAAGGUCGGGGCUCAACCCCGAACAGGCAGUGGAAACUGAACAGCUAGAGUACGGUAGGGGCAGAGGGAAUUCCCAGUGUAGCGGUGAAAUGCGUAGAGAUUGGGAAGAACACCGGUGGCGAAAGCGCUCUGCUAGGCCGAAACUGACACUCAUGGACGAAAGCUAGGGGAGCGAAUGGGAUUAGAUACCCCAGUAGUCCUAGCCGUAAACGAUGGAUACUAG